rnacentral:tRNA from 1 species
GGGAAGGUGGCUCAGUGGUAGAGCGCUUGCUUUGCAUGCAAAUCAAGAGAUAUAGUCAUCCCUUUUCU